UAGUUGUAGUCGGCAAGCAUGGAGCCAUA
rnacentral:ribozyme from 1 species